GAUAUUUACAAAUGCAAUGAGAUUUACAGAGUAUGCAUUGGUGAGCGUGCAUCUACUGAUUCAUUUGCUGAACUGCAAGGUGCUAAAUGCUAUUAGAUGUAUGCAAAUGAAGCAUUACGUAAUUUUAAAUUCAUGAAUCAUGACACUUGCGCUGUCUAUUGCACAUGGAGAUGGUAUUAUACCUUCUUUGUGGUGACCUAUUCAGUUGCAUCUUUCAGUACAUUCUGCACACAAUGAAGUUUGAGAACAUAGCUUUCAAGCAUCACCACAGGACUGGAUGACUCAACA
rnacentral:lncRNA from 1 species